AUUGAACGCUGGCGGCAGGCCUAACACAUGCAAGUCGAGCGGAUGACGGGAGCUUGCUCCUUGAUUCAGCGGCGGACGGGUGAGUAAUGCCUAGGAAUCUGCCUGGUAGUGGGGGGCAACGUUUCGAAAGGAACGCUAAUACCGCAUACGCCCUACGAGAGAAAGCAGGGGACCUUCGGGCCUUGCGCUAUCAGAUAAGCCUAGGUCGGAUUAGCUAGUUGGUGGGGUAAUGGCUCACCAAGGCGACGAUCCGUAACUGGUCUGAGAGGAUGAUCAGUCACACUGGAACUGAGACACGGUCCAGACUCCUACGGGAGGCAGCAGUGGGGAAUAUUGGACAAUGGGCGAAAGCCUGAUCCAGCCAUGCCGCGUGUGUGAAGAAGGUCUUCGGAUUGUAAAGCACUUUAAGUUGGGAGGAAGGGCAGUAAGCUAAUACCUUGCUGUUUUGACGUUACCGACAGAAUAAGCACCGGCUAACUCUGUGCCAGCAGCCGCCGUAAAAC
rnacentral:rRNA from 1 species